GGAGUGGUUGCUCGGUUGGCUUGGUCUUGGUGCAGCCUUACUCGAAGAACACCCCCAGGAUCUCUCAUUGCCAUUGUACUAAAGAUUUCCUUCUGUCUGACUGAUCCUGGGACCCUUGUACCACCACACUUCCGUCAUUUUUUUCCCUGCGGCUUGAGAAGUCGUGAGCCGAUUCCUGUUGCAUCUGGCAUUUCUGAAUUUCCCUGGUUUCCUUUCAAUGGCCAUUGCACAUGGUGAAUAUUCCAGGCCCUGCCAUCAUCUAAAAGGAGGGAGAACAAAACCAGAGGCUGGAAAGGACUGUCUUUGAUAGAAAGUUGAAGAUGGAUCUCUGCUGUGCCUUCUUUGCCCCUGAGUUCAUGGCUAGUCCUUCAUUAUGAAGAGGUGGCGCAGACUCCGGAGCCAGGCGGGGGACAGG